rnacentral:lncRNA from 1 species
AAGUCUCUGUGGUGUGGGAUGCUUAUGAAGCAUGCAAGGACGCACAUGGUAUCUGCAUUAUCACUGAGUGGGACGAGUUCAAGAAACUCGAUUACCAAAAGAUUUAUGACAACAUGCAGAAGCCUGCCUUCCUGUUCGACGGGCGCAAUGUCCUUAACGUAGAGGAGAUGCGCAAGAUUGGCUUUGUUGUUUACUCCAUCGGCAAGCCUCUCGACCCAUGGGUUAAGGAUCUCCAGGUGUCUAUCUAAAUUUAGAAUUGUAACGCAUUAUUGACUUAUUCAUUUACCACCUGGUCGAUUCUUUAUCCCCGACCGAUUGUGCACCGGGCAGAUUACAUCCUAACCUCUGUUCGCGAUCUCGACGACCUGGGAUCCUAUUCUCUGGGUUUCGGAACAUGUGGGUAGUUAGUAUAAAGCAGCAUAGUAAGCGAUUCAGCGCCGAGUGCCAAGAUGAGUGAGUUUUAUUAUGGACAGGUAGUGUCAGUUUUGAUAUGUGGACAUGCCACGGCAAUAGAUCUGAGGUUGUUGGGCCUGGCGCACGUAUACUCUAGUCAGAUGAGGUUCUCCUAGUCCGAAGACGUCAGGCCUUCCAGAGUGAAGGAAGC